rnacentral:lncRNA from 1 species
CAAAAGCUUCCUUAACCCCACAAGUAAAAAAUACUCCUUAGUUGACAAAGACGGGGGGUUUCUUCAAUCUCUAAUUAUGAGAAAGCAAACACAAUUCUGAAAGCUUCAACAAAGGUCUGUUUUGGUGCACAAACAAGGAAAGAUGAGAAAGUGAAGAGUAAAAGCCACAAAUUAAAGAGAAAAAAGGAGGUUAUUGAUUUGAUUUCCUGUUUUAUUUGAAAGGUGCUCUCUGCAGGUUUAAAUCAAUUGGCGGAGUGAAUUUCCAGUAACAGAUGAUGGCUGGAAACCCUAAUUGGUGGAGUGUGAAUGGCAUGCAUCCACAGUCUCGCCAUCUCUCUUCUUCUUCUCCAUUUCUGUAUGUUUCUUCUUCUUCUUCUUCGGCUUCUUUGGAUUCUUCGACUGCAAAUCCCUCCCAAGAGUUUCCUGUACGGUCAUGGAGCCAACUGCUUCUGUAAAUCUCUCUCUCUCUCUCUCUCUCUCUCUCUCUCUCUCUCUGUGUGUACGUGUCUGUUAAGGAUGAAUUUCCACCUCUAUUAAAGAUAAAAUAAAUAGUUUACAUAUAAGGAGUUGAGCUAAAAAUGACGUUAAGAUAGAACCCAAGUCUCAGUACGUCAUGGGGUUUUUGUUUCAUUACCAACCCUAGCUAGUUCUUGGAUCAAACUUCAAAAAACUUACGAGUUUCUUUAUUUUCCCAUUUUACUUAGCAUUUAAACCUUCUUCUUGAUCUGUGCACCUUUAUAUGCAUACUGCAACUAGCUCUGUGUGUUUGUGUCCGUGUAAGAUUUGGCCAUUUGGGUGUAAUAAUUUGACACUUGAAGUUAUGGUUGAUCAGGAGCGGAUUGGCUGGUACUGAAGAAGACGAAAAGUUUGGUAAUAGUCUUUUUCAGCAACAGAAGAAAAUGGAGAAUUGGGAAGUCCAAGUUCUGAACCCAUCUUUUAGUAUUCCUGUUGUUGAUGUAAAGCAAGAAACUGCACAAACAAACCAACUUUAUGGUAAUGUAGAAGAUGAAUUUCAAGCUUCGAGAUCUUCUUGUUGGCCUCAAGUCAUUCCAGAAUCAUCCCCUACUUCUUCUAUUACAAGUGUAAGCAACAAUAUCUUGAAUUUCUCCGGCGCCAAGAUGGACUACGACCGCAAGAAUCAACAUCUAGAUCAUUCAUCGGAGGUUGGAAGCUUUAUCAGUGAUUAUAAUCCACAAGGAAAAAGAAAAGAAAAGCUAUUAUUUUCUUAGCAUGCCCCAAAAGUAUCAUGAUUAAUUUGCUUGAAAAGUUUACAAAAUGUCAAAAUAACAGCCUACAAAAGACUUAUCCAACAAAUUUGGUGUCGACCACAUGAAUUAUUUUGCUCCGAUUGGUUCAAUUCAUUGCUACAUAGCUGUUAGAUUUGUUCAUGGUUUGUUGACUGUAAAAUUUUCCCUUUGUUCCUUUUGUAAAAGUGCAACAGCACGAGCAUUGGUGGGGUAUCUAAGAAGCCUAAGGUUCAACAGUCAUCCAGUCAACCGGCUUUGAAGGUCAGGAAUAAUCUCUUUCGCUUUUACAAAUUAUUAUUGGGGCUUCAUUUAUUUCUUCACAAAACUUGCAUAAAUUCUUAAGAAUAUUACUAAAAAAACAGGUGAGAAAGGAGAAAUUAGGGGAUAGAAUAACAGCUCUUCACCAAAUCGUUUCUCCAUUUGGAAAGGUA